GACGAACGCUGGCGGCGUGCUCAACACAUGCAAGUCGAACGGAAAGGCCCUGCUUUUGUGGGGUGCUCGAGUGGCGAACGGGUGAGUAACACGUGAGUAACCUGCCCUUGACUUUGGGAUAACUUCAGGAAACUGGGGCUAAUACCGGAUAGGAGCUCCUGCUGCAUGGUGGGGGUUGGAAAGUUUCGGCGGUUGGGGAUGGACUCGCGGCUUAUCAGCUUGUUGGUGGGGUAGUGGCUGACCAAGGCUUUGACGGGUAGCCGGCCUGAGAGGGUGACCGGCCACAUGGGGACUGAGAGACGGCCCAGACGCCUACGGGAGGCAGCAGGGGGGAAUAUUGCACAAUGGGCGGAAGCCUGAUGCAGCAACGCCGCGUGCGGGAUGACGGCCUUCGGGUUGUAAACCGCUUUCGCCUGUGACGAAGCGUGAGUGACGGUAAUGGGUAAAGAAGCACCGGCUAACUACGUG
rnacentral:rRNA from 1 species